CUUAGAGGGACAAGUGGCGCUUAGCCACACGAGAUUGAGCAAUAACAGGUCUGUGAUGCCCUUAGAUGUUCGGGGCUGCACAUGCGCUACAAUGAAUGGAUCAGCGUGNGUCUCGCCUGCCGAGAGGGCCGGGHAACCCGUUGAACCCCAUUCGUGCUAGGGAUUGGGGCUUGCAAUUGUUCCCCAUGAACGAGGAAUUCCCAGUAAGCGCGAG
rnacentral:rRNA from 1 species